rnacentral:rRNA from 1 species
GCAAACAGGAUUAGAUACCCUGGUAGUCCACGCCCUAAACGAUGAGUACUAAACGUUGGAUAAAACCAGUGUUGAAGUUAACACAUUAAGUACUCCGCCUGAGUAGUACGUACGCAAGUAUGAAACUUAAAGGAAUUGACGGGACUCCGCACAAGCGGUGGAUCAUGUUGUUUAAUUCGAAGGUACCCGAAAAACCUCACCAGGUCUUGACAUGCUUUUGCAAAGCUGUAGAAAUACAGUGGAGGUUAUCAGAAGCACAGGUGGUGCAUGGUUGUCGUCAGCUCGUGUCGUGAGAUGUUGGGUUAAGUCCCGCAACGAGCGUAACCCUUGUUGUUAAUUGCCAUCAUUAAGUUGGGGACUUUAGCAAGACUGCCAAUGAUAAAUUGGAGGAAGGUGGGGACGACGUCAAAUCAUCAUGCCCCUUAUGACCUGGGCUACAAACGUGAUACAAUGGCUGUUACAAAGGGUAGCUAAAGCGUAAGCUUCUGGCGAAUCUCAAAAAAGCAGUCUCAGUUCGGAUUGAAGUCUGCAACUCGACUUCAUGAAGUUGGAAUCGCUAGUAAUCGCGAAUCAGCAUGUCGCGGUGAAUACGUUCUCGGGGUUUGUACACACCGCCCGUCAAACCACGAAAGUUGGCAAUACCCAAAGCCGGUGGCCUAACUUGAGCAAUCAAGAAGGAGCCGUCUAAGGUAGGGUUGAUGAUUGGGGUUAAGUCGUAACAAGGUAUCCCUACCGGAAGGUGGGGAUGGAUCACCUCCUU